UACGGGGGGAGCAAGCGUUGUUCGGAAUCACUGGGCGUAAAGCGCACGUAGGCGGAUCUUUAAGUCAGGGGUGAAAUCCUGGAGCUCAACUCCAGAACUGCCUUUGAUACUGGGGAUCUCGAGUCCGGAAGAGGUGAGUGGAACUCCGAAUGUAGAGGUGAAAUUCGUAGAUAUUCGGAAGAACACCAGUGGCGAAGGCGGCUCACUGGUCCGGUACUGACGCUGAGGUGCGAAAGCGUGGGGAGCAAACAGG
rnacentral:rRNA from 1 species